rnacentral:tRNA from 2 species
GCCCGAGUGACGGAAUGGUAGACGUAGCGGAUUCAAAAUCCGCCGCCGCAAGGCAUGUCGGUUCGAGUCCGACCUCGGGUA